UGAGAGGAAAUUCCUUGCUUCCCCUUUGCCUUUUGCCAUGACUGCAAGUUUCCUGAGACCGCCCCCCAGGUCAUGCUUCCUGUAAGCUUGUGGAACUGCCUGGAAGUCAUUUUGGAAGUGCUAGUUUCCUCAUCCAUUUUCCUGAAUCCGUCAGAACACUAAUGAAAAGUAAAAGGCAACAUUGGUCUCGUGGUAUGAAAAAGGCCCCUUUUGUUCAUUGAUUCCUGUCUUUCAUUCUUCAGUCCCUCUCUAUAGGAGAACAGGAUAUGUAGAUGGAGCUACCCAUUAAACCAACAUCCCAAGAAGGAGAGGACACAUGGAACAGACCCAGGCAGAGUCUCGGCAGACCUGCAGACCUGCAGACCCUUAGGAAUGUGACUGCAGUGCACAAAGGUAUACAUCUAAGAGUGCUCAUAGAAGCAUUGUACAGAAGAAAUGCAAAUACUUACAGUGGGUAUUAACAGGAG